GCCGGCUGAUGACCAAACGUUUAGAUGACGAAUCUGAGCGGGACAGCCGUUGAAAGCGCCGCACACAGUGACGACAAAACGAGGCAUUUGUCUGACGGC
rnacentral:snoRNA from 1 species